rnacentral:rRNA from 1 species
UCUCAAGAAAAGAAUAUUAGUUCCGCCUAAAGCAAUAAAAAUAUAAGUAUAUUAAUCUCACCCUUUAGAGUAACUCAAAUAAGGUACAGCCUAUUUGACACAGGAUCCAACCUUCAUUUCCGGGUAAUACAACAACCUUUACACCUAAGUAGGCCUAAUAGCAGCCACCUUUCAAAUAGCGUCAAAGCUUACCCGUAUUUAAUCUAAUUCAUCUAUUUUCAUAAACCCCUAUAAUUGUACUGAGAAAUUCUAUACUUCUAUAGAAGAUAUUAUGCUAAAACUAGUAACAAGAGAAUCAACCUCUCUCUAUGCAAAUAUAAGCCAAGAAGAACUCGUCAUUGGCAAUCAACAGAAAAAAGUAAUAACUCCUCAAGAAAACCUUACUUCAACAACUGUUAACCUGACACCAGAGCAUUUCAAGAAAGAUUAAAAGAAAAAGAAGGAACUCGGCAAAUAAAAAUUCCGCCUGUUUACCAAAAACAUCGCCUCUUGCCCCUAUAAGAGGUCCAGCCUGCCCAGUGACCUAGUUC